GACGAACGCUGGCGGCGUGCCUAAUACAUGCAAGUUGAGCGCUGAAGGCUGGUACUUGUACCAACUGGAUGAGCAGCGCACGGGUGAGUAACGCGUGGGGCAUCUGCCUUUGAGCGGGGGACAACAUUUGGAAACGAAUGCUAAUACCGCAUAAAAACUUUAAACACAAGUUUUAAGUUUGAAAGUUGCAAUUGCAUCACUCAAAGACGAUCCCGCGUUGUAUUAGCUAGUUGGUGAGGUACAGGCUCACUAAGGCGAUGAUACAUAGCCGACCUGAGAGGGUGAUCAGCCGCACUGAGACUGAGACACGGCCCAAACGCCUACAGGAGGCAGCAGUAGGGAUUCGUCAGCAAGGGGCGAAAGUCUGACCGAGCAACGCCGCGGGAGUGAAGAAGGUUUUCGGGUCGUAAAACUCGGUUGGUAGAGAAGAACGUUGGUGAGAGUGGAAAGCUCAUCAAGUGACGGUAACUACCCAGAAAGGGACGGCUAACUACGUG
rnacentral:rRNA from 1 species